rnacentral:misc_RNA from 1 species
CUCCAUGCCCUCUCUCACAUCUGGAUUCUUUUUUUUUUUUUGAGAUGGAGUCUCACUCUUUCACCAGGCUGGAGUGCAGUGGCAUGAUCUCGGCUCCCUGCAACAUCCGCCUCCUGGGUUCAAGUGAUUCUCCUGCCUCAGCCUCCCGAGUAGCUGGGACUACAGGACUUAAGUGAGUUUAAAGAGAUGACAACAUGUGUUUUCCCCAGACUCUUGGAUACUAAAUUGAUGGCCAGCACACAACCUUUUAAGGAUAUCAUUAACAACACAUCCCUUGCGGAAUUGGAAAAGCGGUUAAAAGAGACACCUUUCAACCCUCCUAAAGUUGAAAGUGCCGAAGGUUUUCCAAGUUAUGACACAGCCUCUGAACAACUCCACGAGGCAGGCUACGAUGCCUACAUCACAGGGCUGUGCUUCAUCUCCAUGGCCAAUUACCUAGGUUCUUUUCUCAGCCCUCCAAAAAUUCAUGUGUCUGCCAGAUCAAAACUCAUUGAACCUUUUUUUAACAAGUUAUUUCUUAUGAGGGUCAUGGAUAUCCCCUAUCUAAACUUGGAAGGACCAGACU